UACGUAGGUGGCAAGCGUUACCCGGAUUUAUUGGGCGUAAAGGGAACGCAGGCGGUCUUUUAAGUCUGAUGUGAAAGCCUUCGGCUUAACCGGAGUAGUGCAUUGGAAACUGGGAGACUUGAGUGCAGAAGAGGAGAGUGGAACUCCAUGUGUAGCGGUGAAAUGCGUAGAUAUAUGGAAGAACACCAGUGGCGAAAGCGGCCCUCUGGUCUGUAACUGACGCUGAGGUUCGAAAGCGUGGGUAGCAAACAGG
rnacentral:rRNA from 1 species